AGUGAACGCUGGCGGUAGGCCUAACACAUGCAAGUCGAACGGCAGCACAGUAAGAGCUUGCUCUUACGGGUGGCGAGUGGCGGACGGGUGAGGAAUACAUCGGAAUCUACUUUUUCGUGGGGGAUAACGUAGGGAAACUUACGCUAAUACCGCAUACGACCUACGGGUGAAAGCAGGGGAACUUCGGACCUUGCGCGAUUGAAUGAGCCGAUGUCGGAUUAGCUAGUUGGCGGGGUAAAGGCCCACCAAGGCGACGAUCCGUAGCUGGUCUGAGAGGAUGAUCAGCCACACUGGAACUGAGACACGGUCCAGACUCCUACGGGAGGCAGCAGUGGGGAAUAUUGGACAAUGGGCGCAAGCCUGAUCCAGCCAUACCGCGUGGGUGAAGAAGGCCUUCGGGUUGUAAAGCCCUUUUGUUGGGAAAGAAAAGCAGCGGGUUAAUACCCCGCUGUUCUGACGGUACCCAAAGAAUAAGCACCGGCUAACUUCGUG
rnacentral:rRNA from 1 species